CCUUCAGGUGGGCACACAGACCCCGCUGAGCGUCAUUCCAGACCCCAGUGUGGCCACCCCUGGGGACAGUCCUGGACUCUGAGCUGACCUCCCCUCCCUGGGGUGACAGCGUGGCCUCCCAGCUCUGCCCGUCCCAGAUGGCAAGUGGGCCACAGUCUGGGGUCCCAGUCUGGGUGGGGUCACAGUACCCCUGCAGGAAGGGUCAUGAAUACCCCCCUUUGAUCCACAUUCCCAGGACCCUGGCAGCUGGAAGCGCCCCCUCUGUCCACUCGGCUGUGGAUGCAGGUUCCCCUCACAGGCCACUCCAGAGCCGCACGCACGCCCCCAUGGGAGCCCGUCCUGUGGGGCAGGUGCCGAGCCAGGCUGACAGUCAGUGUCCAGGCCGGGGACCCCGCUCAGCCGGGCUCCCCCGUUUGUGUCAGUGUUGGGGACACAGCUCUGCUCCCUCCUCUGAACGCGGCUGGCCCAGCAGCCUCCACAGUGAGCCCGGCCCCUCCUGUGCUGGAGGGAGAUCCUUCGCACGAACCCGUGUGCAGGGCCUGGCUCCCCCGUUGUUGUCUUUGGCUCCCCUGUGUUAAACUUUGACCUCUGGCUCCCAUCUGUUGGCAUGGAGUGUUGUUCGCGCGUUUAGUUGGCGCACCUCCUGCCAGCUGGUGUGGAGGGUCCAUGGGAGCCGAGGAGAAAGCUCGCGGCCCACAGGGGCCUCCUGUUGGGUGGCAGCAUCUUUGGGGCCUGGGCUCACCUGGAAUCCACAGGCUGCCCCCCUGAGCUCCCUGGCCCCGUCCAGGGCCCCGUCCCGGCCUUGCUGCUACAUCCGGUCUCAGACGGAGCCGCCCAGGACGCUGCUGGGCUUGGCCGCUCCGGCCCAGCGUCCCUGCCUGGCCUGCUCUCAUUCUGCCACCUGUGCCCUGUCCUGGCCCGUUGGAGUCGGAGGGACCCAUCUGAUGUCCCAGCACGUGCCGUCUGACCCCUCUGGGAUCUGACCGUCCGAGGCUGGUGUUGGGAGGUGUGACCCCAGAGACACAGCUGGACGGAUUUCUGCUGGGCUCCCCCACACCCUUCUGCGGGAAAAGAGAUGCCUUUGCUUUAUCCCAGGGCUUGGAUUUUGGUCGUGGGGGCACCGCUCAGCCCCACUGUGUGUUCUGGGAGGCCCGUGGGCGAGUCUGAGGUCCCAGGAGUGGGGUCGAGUCAGGGAGCAGGCGGCCGGGGCCCUCUACAGAAGUAGCUCUCCGUGAGGCAGUGCCCCUUGAUCGGGGCUGCAGGGGGCCUGCGUGGGGCGGGGCGGGUGGGAGCCCAGGCGAGAGGCUUGGGGACCCGAAUGCCCCCUGGUCGGCUGGUUGUCAUUUUUUAAGAGGCCUAAGCCGUACUUUAGGACUCUCCUUUCACACACACAUGUGUGUGUUUUGCCACUUUUGUUCAUCCCAGUCAUCUGGCCGCGUCCCCUGGAGGUCGGGGAAUGCACCCCACGGUCCCUGCAGGACCUGCUGAGACCUGUUUUGCGGCCCAGGAGGUGGCCAGCCCCCAACGGCGCCCUGUGUGUUGGAAAAGAAUGUGAGAGCUGCAGCUGUGCUGGGGCCGCAUCUAUUUCUGUCCCGGAGAUUAAACUUGUAAAUCUCCCGUGUCUGCAGCAGGCUGUUUGUUUCUGGUUGUCCGGUCAGCUCCGUCAUCGCUCCGGGGAGCUGGGCCCGGCCUCCCUGGGGGCUGGACCUCUGCUUUUCCCUGCAGCGUCUGCCGUGUCCGUGUGGGGCUCCUGGGGCCGGCAUCGGCCAGCUCUGAGGCGUGUCGUUUCCCCUGGUCGCCUGCCCUGACGCGGUCCCUGUCUCUCUCUAGUACUGUCCACACCUCCACCUCCUGUGUGCACGUCAGUCCAGCCACCCCACGGCCCCUCGACCCUUUUCCGUCUUUUGAGAAGAUGUUCACCCUCUGCACCCUUACGUCUUAUGUGUGUCUCUUGUGAAUAGACACGAUUCUCUUUUUCCUUCUGAUCUUCAUCUUUUACCUGUGCUGUUUGUCUGUUUCCACGUGUUAUGACUGUUCGUCCAUCUUGGUUUAUUUUCGUCCUGUCCUUUCUUGCCUCCUCUUUCUCUUUUCCUCUCCUACUUUGGAGUAUUCCCUUGCUCCUAGCUGACUGCUCAUCCUAGAAAUGGCCACUACUGGAUUUUUCCAGGUGAAAAAUUAAUACCUUUGCCUUCCAGCUCAAAACACUCAGAUGGGGGCUGGCCCAGUGGCGCAGCAGUUAAGUGCGCACGUUCUGCUUCGGCGGCCCGGGGUUCACCAGUUCGGAUCCCAGGUGCAGACAUGGCACCACUUGGCAAGCCAUGCUGUGGUAGGCAUCCCACAUAUAAAGUAGAGGAAGAUGGGCACGGAUGUUAGCUCAGGCCCAGUCUUCCUCAGCAAAAAGAGGAGGAUCGGCAGAUGCUCAGGGCUAAUCUUCUUCAACAAAAAAAACAAAACUCUCAGACACUUCCAUUCCAUGACCCCAUUCAUUUUACACUGCUGUUGUUGCCUUCGGAGGGUUUUUAAAAAGAAAUAAAAUCGCCUUCUUAUGAUGAUUCACACAGUCAGUGUGUUGAGAUUUGCCCCCCAUACUCCCCUUUCCUGCAUCUCCGACCUGCGUCAGGAGCACUUGGCUUCUGCCUGACGCGUGGUCCCCCGCACAUCCUGGACCAGCGUCUGCUGACAGUGGCCGGCUCGCUUUUGCUUUUCUUCCGUUUUGGUCUCAAACUGUCUCCAUGUUGGUUUUGUGUGGCAGACACCUCCCGGGAGGUGGCGUUUGGGCGAAAGGGCAGCCGCUCUCCUCCAGCUCUGGCCCCUGCAUUUCUGUCGAGAAGCUGGCUGCAGGGCUCCUGGGUCGCUCCUUUGGAGACGGUCCCCUUUUCUGUUCCGUUCCGUCUCCUUGUGGCAGGUUCUGAGGAUCUGCCACUGUCUUGGGUGUUGUCCAGUCUCGUCAUCCGGUGUGCAGUGUGGGUUGCUCCAAGGACUCCUGCUUGGGGUUCCUUGGGCCUCGGGUCUCAGGAUGUGUCUCCAGCUCUGUAGCUGCAGGCUCAGCACCUGCGUCUCCUCCCUCCCGGGGCACGAGUCCCUCCCAGCUGUGCUGCUCUGCUCUCCAACCCAGAAAGCAAGUGUGUUUCCUUUCUUCUGGACGUUUUAUUUGGAGCUGUCUUAAGUCUCCUCACUCUUGCAUCUUCAAGCCUCUCCCUGUCUUGAUAUAUGAAGCGUGUCGGCUCUCAUUCUCAACAACGUCAGAGUCCGGAGUCUUCGCCAGCCCAGCUGCUCCCUGCUUGCCGGCUCUCCCCCAUGGUGCCUUCCUUCCAUGUGUGUUUGUGCGUUUUGAUCAUGAACGCCUCACUUUCCUUGGAACUUGGGGCGUUUUCUGAGUCCCGAGUUGAGGAUGGUUCGCCUCAGCACAUCUUGCUGCUUCCGGGCACUGCUGAUCUGCGGCAGCCUGACGUCGUCGCCUGGAGGGUUUGGGGACCAGGCACAGGAUGUACAUUUGGUUUGCACACUUGACUGGGAGUCUGCUGUGAGCUCUCGGGAGCUUCGCCACCACCCCCUGCCCGCAGCCCCUUGAUGCAGCACCAGCUUCCAGGCCUAUGAUUGUCCUUUCCUUCCUGGGGUCAGAGGUUGGUGGGGAUUUAUUUCCACUUCAUUCUUCUUGCUGCAGGGGCAGCCCCCAGGAUCCCGCUCAGGGGGCAGCCUCCGUCGAGGAUGCUGGAUGUUGCCUCCUGUCCCCGAGCUCUGCAACACUGUGAGGUGACGGUCACUUCACCCCCUUGAGUGCACUCCCUGAAGGCAGCGCCUGUCCAGCCUCUCCUGGCCUCGCUGGGUGCCCCUUCCCAGCGUCCGUGCCCUGAGAGUCCUUCCUCUCUUGCCAGUCCGUGAGGCACUCAGGAAGAUGUUUGUCAAGUGCUCUCCCCAGCAUUUCCAGCUGCCUUCCUCAGAAGGGCUGGUCCGAGCACCUGGGUCUUGACAGGGCCACAGAAAGAGCACACAUGUUAGCAUUUACUUCUCCCUGAGUCGAUCCUGCAAGUCCAGCACCAGAACUGGGUCAUCCAGUGUUGCACUGUGCCUCAGGGAGUGAGUUGGUGGGAGACGCUUGCUUCCCCAUGAGUGUGAGAGACAUGGAAGGUUCCAGGCUGGGAGAGACUCACUGUGGACAGAGGGAAACAGAGUCACGUGGCCAAGUUCUCUGAGGUAGCAGCUUUCCGAACACAGCGAAAGGUGUUUUCCUUUCAGGAGAGCUCUUUGGGAUGUGCGUGCCAUCACUGCAUAUUGCUGGGGGCCUGCUCUGUGCCAGGCACUGGAGGGUAGCUGCACCUUCUAGUUGGGAUGACAGAAAAGCCUACAGAGCCUGACUGGGGUGACAGUACCUGUGAAGGGGCGGCAGGUGGGGUGGGAUGUGUGGUG
ensembl:lncRNA